rnacentral:lncRNA from 1 species
UAAUUUUUACCUAAAAUAAGAGAUAUGCUAAAUAAAAUUAAAUAAAAAAUAAUAAUAGUAAAAAUAAACAAAAUUUGAAAUAGGGGGUAUGAAUUAGAAAAAGUGUAGAAAGACCCAAAUCCCAAAUAGAGUUACAAACCCUAGAAUUUUUUAAUUAAUAAUAAUAUAAUAAAAUAAUAAUUAAAAAAUUUAUUUAAAAAAAGACUAAAAAAAUAGCUAAUAAAAAAUAAGAUAAUGGGGGGCAAUCAGCCACUCCCCUUUCCUUAAAAGUUAAUUCCAAAUUCAAAAGGAGAAAAAA